rnacentral:rRNA from 1 species
UGGGGAAUAUUGCACAAUGGGCGCAAGCCUGAUGCAGCCAUGCCGCGUGUAUGAAGAAGGCCUUCGGGUUGUAAAGUACUUUCAGCGGGGAGGAAGGGAGUAAAGUUAAUACCUUUGCUCAUUGACGUUACCCGCAGAAGAAGCACCGGCUAACUCCGUGCCAGCAGCCGCGGUACUACGGAGGGUGCAAGCGUUAAUCGGAAUUACUGGGCGUAAAGCGCACGCAGGCGGUUUGUUAAGUCAGAUGUGAAAUCCCCGGGCUCAACCUGGGAACUGCAUCUGAUACUGGCAAGCUUGAGUCUCGUAGAGGGGGGUAGAAUUCCAGGUGUAGCGGUGAAAUGCGUAGAGAUCUGGAGGAAUACCGGUGGCGAAGGCGGCCCCCUGGACGAAGACUGACGCUCAGGUGCGAAAGCGUGGGGAGCAAACAGG